UCCCUGGUGGUCCAGUGGUUAGGACUUUGUGCUUCCAUUGCAGGGGCAUGGGUUCCAUCCCUGGUCUGGGAA
rfam:Ovis aries breed Texel chromosome 7, whole genome shotgun sequence.